rnacentral:other from 1 species
AAAACCCUGCUGUGUUCGGGAUGAAGCUGGCUUUGUUAUGAGCCAACACCAUAACAAAGGGAAUUCGGUCUCUAGUAGUGGAUGGCAGGCCCAGUAAAUGAAAUGGGAAGUCAGAAGCUAUUAGGAGAAUACCCACCUGCCGAGAGCAGGUUCAUGCUAGUCAGCCAAACGACAUGGUGGGGAACUU